AGUAAUGUCUGGGAAACUGCCUGAUGGAGGGGGAUAACUGCUGGAAACGGUAGCUAAUACCGCAUAACGUCGCAAGACCAAAGAGGGGGACCUUCGGGCCUCUUGCCAUCGGAUGUGCCCAGAUGGGAUUAGCUAGUAGGUGGGGUAGCGGCUCACCUAGGCGACGAUCCCUAGCUGGUCUGAGAGGAUGGCCAGCCACACUGGAACUGAGACACGGUCCAG
rnacentral:rRNA from 1 species